CUGUCUCAUCUACUUCAGGAGGAGGAACCACAUCAGCAUAAGGAUCAGAUUCUUCUCACUUCCAUUUUCCAGGUGGUUAUUUCACAAAGGAACACUAUGAUCAAGUGCUGAAGAUGAUGGUUUCUCAGCCCACAGGAAGUUGUAAAGCAAAUGCAGUUGCAGGUAUGAAUGUUAAACAUAAUAAUGUGAAUGUAGCAGGUUUGAAGUGGAUCAUUGAUUCCGGGGCUACACAUCAUGUUACUUAUUGUGA
rnacentral:lncRNA from 1 species